GCAAUUUACGACCUCUGGCCGUAUGGAUCACGCAUAUCUUUGAUGUGCGGCGUGGUGAGGCAACUCCCACUUGGAUUUUCAGCUAUAACCCGUGUUUAUUACCUUUGUUGCUUUGGCGAGCCGCCUUCGGGCGCAGCUUCGGCUGAUCGUGCUCGCCAGAGAACCCAAACUCUUUUGUUACAGUAUUGUCUGAGUACUAUAUAAUAGUUA
rnacentral:misc_RNA from 1 species